rnacentral:rRNA from 1 species
UACGUAGGGGUGCAAGCGUUAAUCGGAAUUACUGGGCGUAAAGCGUGCGCAGGCGGUUGUGCAAGACAGAUGUGAAAUCCCCGGGCUCAACCUGGGGAAUUGCAUUUGAGACUGCGUAGCUAGGGUGCGGAAGAGGGAAGCGGAAUUUCCGGUGUAGCGGUGAAAUGCGUAGAUAUCGGAAGGAACACCAGUGGCGAAAAGCGGCUUCCUGGUCCAGCACCGACGUCAGGCACGAAAGCGUGGGGGAGCAAACAGG